GUGAAUCAUCAAAUUUUUGAACGCAAAUUGCACUCUCUGGUAUUCCGGGGAGUAUGCCUGUUUGAGGGUCAGUUUAAAUAAAAAUCGGUGUGGUUGUUGCCAUUGGUGGUGAGGCAGCGGUUGUGGGUCGUCUUGCCUUCGGUUGAGUGUGCUAACAUUUUGCAUGAUUUUUGUAGAACGUAGUUAAAUGAUUUUACGUAAGUUUGGGAUAUCGUAUAUUAGGUGCGGUCUUCUUCAUGAUGCGUGUCU
rnacentral:misc_RNA from 1 species